rnacentral:lncRNA from 1 species
UUUUUUUUUCCUAGGUCAUUUAUAAAAAAUGUAGGCUAUAAAAGAUUUCUCGACUUUUAUAACCUACAUAUUUUUUCUUUGCGUUCUACCUUCUCCAAACCUACAAUGGGUUUAGAAUAAAGUUUUUGUUACAAUGCAAACACAUCCACCUUAAUUAGAAAAAUUCAAUGAAAAAUAUUCCAAAAAGAGUUCCAAAGUCAAUCAACAACACCAAUAUUAGAUCAGUUCCUUCUUUCUUGUCCAUACGUUCAAAAAUAUACUCUACCGUCUACACUGCAUAUACAGGCCCAUAAUUACAACAAGUGCCAGCAAAAUCCGGCGACGAAAACAACCAAGUCUAUCUUCGACCUCCGGCGCCAGAAAACACAAAGCCUCCGUAAAAAGACCCAACAACACCGAUACGGCUACGUCAGAACCACAGCACCACGAUAACUUCACCGAGGAAGACGGAGAAUUCUGAGUAUACAAGCAGAAAAGAUGGGGAUAAUAUUGUAAUGUCAAAAUCUCGUAAUUCUAUCUUUUUGUUGUUUUAUCAUUCUGAUUCCAUCGAUUUUGGAGAGAUAUUGGAAAUUUUGUUUGCUAACUUGAUCUGAGUUUUCGAAAUUUUGCUUCUUGACAUAUUAGAUUGUGUUUGUUUGAUGGAUUGAAUUCAAAUUAUGACAUGAUGGUUAUGCUUGUUCUGUCUACAUUUG